rnacentral:tRNA from 1 species
AAUUUGAAAAUAUAGAACAUCAGAUUGCAAAUUUGAUUUAGCGAGAGCUCAAAUUAC